GGGGAUAACACCUGGAAACAGGUGCUAAGACCGCAUAAGCGCACGGUCCCGCAUGGGACAGUGUGAAAAACUCCGGUGGUACAAGAUGGAUCCGCGUCUGAUUAGCCAGUUGGCGGGGUAACGGCCCACCAAAGCGACGAUCAGUAGCCGGCCUGAGAGGGUGAACGGCCACAUUGGGACUGAGACACGGCCCAAACUCCUACGGGAGGCAGCAGUGGGGAAUAUUGCACAAUGGGGGAAACCCUGAUGCAGCAACGCCGCGUGAGUGAAGAAGUAAUUCGUUAUGUAAAGCUCUAUCAGCAGGGAAGAAAAUGACGGUACCUGAGUAAGCAGCCCCGGCUAACUACGUGCCAGCAGCCGCGGUAAUACGUAGGGGGCAAGCGUUAUCCGGAUUUACUGGGUGUAAAGGGAGCGUAGACGGUAAAGCAAGUCUGAAGUGAAAUGCCAGUGCUCAACACUGGAACUGCUUUGGAAACUGUUUGGCUGGAGUGCAGGAGAGGUAAGUGGAAUUCCUAGUGUAGCGGUGAAAUGCGUAGAUAUUAGGAGGAACACCAGUGGCGAAGGCGGCUUACUGGACUGUAACUGACGUUGAGGCUCGAAAGCGUGGGGAGCAAACAGGAUUAGAUACCCUGGUAGUCCACGCGGUAAACG
rnacentral:rRNA from 1 species